rnacentral:tRNA from 1 species
GGUGAGGUGUCCGAGUGGCUGAAGGAGCACGCCUGGAAAGUGUGUAUACGGCAACGUAUCGGGGGUUCGAAU